rnacentral:tRNA from 1 species
UAGCUCAGCUGGUAGAGCAUCACGUUGCCAACGUGAAUGUCGCGAGUUCGAAUCUCG